AAGAAUAUGACAUGUUGGUGUAUUUGUUUCGCGAAGACUCGCAAGAAUGUAAGGCGACAUGUAAGAAGUAUUCUGACGUCCAAAUAAGGUAUGGAAUAAUUCACACCAAUUUUGUAUUAUGAAUCGAUUGUAUGAAUAGAAAAAACAGAAAGUUAGACUAUUAUUUCUUUCAAACUUUUCCAGGAAAAGAACUGGAUGUAAAUUUGAAUCUUGG